AUCCAGCUGACGAGUCCCAAAUGGGAUGAAAAGUGCGUCCUGGAU
rnacentral:hammerhead_ribozyme from 1 species